GUAUAAUGAUUCUCAAACUUCCAACGAAGCGGUCACUUUUUAGAAGUGUAUUUCGUCUAGGAAAAUUUGUUUAUCAAUAAUUUAUACCAAAUAAUUUCUCUACCUAUGACAUCUGAAAUCAAGCAAGAUUACCCGCUGAACUUAAGCAUAUCAGUAAGCGGAGGAAAAGAAACUAACAAGGAUUGCCUCAGUAACGGCGAGUGAACAGGCAAAAGCUCAAAUUGUAAAUCUAUGGUUUCCGAUCAUAGAAUUGUAAUCUAAAGAUUUUCGCAGAAGGAUAGGUUUUCGCAUAACGCCCUGAAAAGGGUGGUCAUAGAGGGUGAUAACCCCGUAGUUGGCGAAAAACCUACCGUAUGCGGGGAUUCGAAGAGUCGGGUUGUUUGGGACUGCAGCCCUAAUUGGGAGAUAAACUUCUUCUAAGGCUAAAUAUUGAUGUGAGACCGAUAGCAAACAAGUACUGCGAAGGAAAG
rnacentral:rRNA from 1 species